rnacentral:rRNA from 1 species
GUAGGGAGCGAGCGUUGUCCGGAUUUACUGGGUGUAAAGGGUGCGUAGGCGGCGAGGCAAGUCAGGCGUGAAAUCUAUGGGCUUAACCCAUAAACUGCGCUUGAAACUGUCUUGCUUGAGUGAAGUAGAGGUAGGCGGAAUUCCCGGUGUAGCGGUGAAAUGCGUAGAGAUCGGGAGGAACACCAGUGGCGAAGGCGGCCUACUGGGCUUUAACUGACGCUGAAGCACGAAAGCAUGGGUAGCAAACAGGAUUAGAUACCCUGGUAGUCCAUGCCGUAAACGAUGAUUACUAGGUGUUGGGGGAUUGACCCCCUCAGUGCCGCAGUUAACACAAUAAGUAAUCCACCUGGGGAGUACGACCGCAAGGUUG